rnacentral:misc_RNA from 1 species
CGCGCCUGUCAUGUGAACCGACCGAUAGAGCCACGUCGGCACCUGGUCGGGAGAGACGUACCAAUCGGGCGAUACAUAGGUAUCCGCAUCGCUUACGGCGAACAGCCAUGGCGUNNCGAUCAGCGGAUUAUGGCGCGCAAGAUGAAAACAAAGCUGCGGCGUGCCGUCGCUUCCAUACUCAAUGUGGAACGGCACCGGCGACGCGAUGGGUUUUUCCCCGUCAUGGGCGCAGGCCAGCCCGAAUCCACGCGCGGCGGCGAACGCGAGGCAAGCAGCGCGGUCAACUCGGAAGGCGGGCGGAACGUACAUUGCAAACUCCUGCUUCUGCGAGGAGCCGCCUGAGAUCAAACCGCGUGUUUUGGGAANNNNNNNNUGCCGCGGACUGUCUCCGGCGGCACGAGGGGAGAUCUUAAACGCAAUCAACCGCCCAUACC